rnacentral:rRNA from 1 species
AUCCCAGUUCGGAUCGCAGGCUGCAACCCGCCUGCGUGAAGUUGGAAUCGCUAGUAAUCGCGGAUCAGCAUGCCGCGGUGAAUACGUUCCCGGGCCUUGUACACACCGCCCGUCACACCGUGAGAGUCGGGAACACCCGAAGUCCGUAGUCUAACCGCAAGGGGGACGCGGCCGAAGGUGGGUUCGAUAAUUGGGGUGAAGUCGUAACAAGGUAUC